rnacentral:antisense_RNA from 1 species
AGUAGCCAAAAAUCACAGCCGGGUUGAGGGUGGGGUUCGUGAUAAUACGCACGUCGCCGCCGCCCGGAGCCCAAGUGUCAUAGACACCGCCGAAGAACAUGGCCUUAGCCACCAGCAGCAAGCAGCCGCCACCCAACAAAAUUAGGUGAUAGCCGAUGAUGUUGGUCAUCUGGUUCUUGUCUUUCCA